AUUGAACGCUGGCGGCAGGCCUAACACAUGCAAGUCGAGCGGUAGAGAGGUGCUUGCAUCUCUUGAGAGCGGCGGACGGGUGAGUAAUGCCUAGGAAUCUGCCUAGUGGUGGGGGAUAACGUUCGGAAACGGACGCUAAUACCGCAUACGUCCUACGGGAGAAAGCGGGGGAUCGCAAGACCUCGCGCGAUUGGAGCGGCCGAUAUCAGAUUAGGUAGUUGGUGAGGUAAAGGCUCACCAAGCCGACGAUCUGUAGCUGGUCUGAGAGGACGACCAGCCACACUGGGACUGAGACACGGCCCAGACUCCUACGGGAGGCAGCAGUGGGGAAUUUUGGACAAUGGGCGCAAGCCUGAUCCAGCAAUGCCGCGUGCAGGAUGAAGGCCUUCGGUUGUAAC
rnacentral:rRNA from 1 species